rnacentral:rRNA from 1 species
UUAAGUUAAUAAGGGCGCGUGGUGGAUGCCUUGGCACUAGGAGCCGAUGAAGGACGUGACUAACUACGAUAAGCUUUGGUGAGCGGUAAGUACGCUAUGACCCAGAGAUUUCCGAAUGGGGGAACCCAACUCGAAGAGAGUUGUCAUUAUCUGAAUACAUAGGAUAAUGACGGAACACGCUGUGAACUGAAACAUCUCAUUAGCAGCAGGAGAAGAAAGAAAAAUCGAUUCCCUAAGUAGCGGCGAGCGAAAAGGGAAGAGCCCAAACCAGAGUGCUUGCACUCUGGGGUUGUAGGACUGAUAUAUAGGAGUUACAAAAGUGUUUUAUAGCAGAACAAGCUGGGAAGCUUGGCUAGAGAGGGUGAUAGCCCCGUACGCGAAAUAAAGCACCCUCCUUUCAGGAUCCUGAGUACGGCCGGACACGUGAAAUCCGGUCGGAAUCUGCGGGGACCAUCCCGUAAGGCUAAAUACUCCCUAGUGACCGAUAGUGAACCAGUACCGUGAGGGAAAGGUGAAAAGCACCCCGGAAGGGGAGUGAAAUAGUUCCUGAAACCACGACGCCUACAAGAAGUCAGAGCCCGUUAAUGGGUGAUGGCGUGCCUUUUGUAGAAUGAACCGGCGAGUUACGGUAUCGUGCAAGGUUAAGGUGGAAAGACCGGAGCCGCAGCGAAAGCGAGUGUGAAUAGCGCGAAUAGUACGAUGCUGUAGACCCGAAACCAGGUGACCUACCCAUGGUCAGGAUGAAGGUGAGGUAAAACUUACUGGAGGUCCGAACCGGUGCAUGUUAAAAAAUGCUCGGAUGAACUGUGGGUAGCGGUGAAAUUCCAAACGAACUUGGAGAUAGCUGGUUCUCUCCGAAAUAGCUUUAGGGCUAGCCUCAUUAUUAGCAUACUGGAGGUAGAGCACUGUUAAGCCUAGGGGCCCACCUCGGGUUACCAAAGUUUGAUAAACUCCGAAUGCCAGAUAUGUAUGAAUGGGAGUCAGACGAUGAGUGAUAAGAUCCACCGUCGAAAGGGGAACAGCCCAGAUCGCCAGUUAAGGUCCCUAAAUAUAUGUUAAGUGGAAAACGAUGUGAUAGUGCAUAGACAACUAGGAUGUUGGCUUAGAAGCAGCCACCAUUUAAAGAGUGCGUAAUAGCUCACUAGUCGAGUGCCAUUGCGCGGAAAAUGUACCGGGGCUAAACAUAUUACCGAAACUGCGGGUGCACGUAAGUGCGCGAUAGGAGAGCGUUGUAAGGGCAAUGAAGGUAGACCGUGAGGACUGCUGGAGCGCUUACAAGUGAGAAUGCCGGUAUGAGUAGCGAAAGACAGGUGAGAAUCCUGUCCACCGAAUGACUAAGGUUUCCUGGGGAAGGCUCGUCCACCCAGGGUUAGUCGGGACCUAAGGCGAGGCUGAGAAGCGUAGUCGAUGGAUAACAGGUUGAGAUUCCUGUACCAGUAGUAAUGCGUUUGACCGAUGGAGGGACGCAGGAGGCUACCAGAUGCGCACUGAUGGAUAUGUGCGUGCAAGCAGUAAGUCUUGUAGAGAGUGAAAUGCUUUCUACUAUAAGGACAAGCUGUGAUGCGGAUCGAAAUAAAGUAGAGAAGUCUGAGACGUCACACUGCCGAGAAAAGCUUCUAGGAAGUAUUACACUGCCCGUACCGCAAACCGACACAGGUAGUCGAGUGGAGAACACUAAGGUGAGCGAGAGAACCCUCGUUAAGGAACUCGGCAAAAUGACCCCGUAACUUCGGGAGAAGGGGUGCUCAUGGCAACAUGAGCCGCAGUGAAUAGGCCCAGGCGACUGUUUAUCAAAAACACAGGUUUCUGCAAAAUCGUAAGAUGAAGUAUAGGGGCUGACGCCUGCCCGGUGCUGGAAGGUUAAAAGGAGUGCUUAGCUUCGGCGAAGGUACGAAUUGAAGCCCCAGUAAACGGCGGCCGUAACUAUAACGGUCCUAAGGUAGCGAAAUUCCUUGUCGGGUAAGUUCCGACCCGCACGAAAGGCGUAACGAUCUGGGCACUGUCUCAACGAGGGACUCGGUGAAAUUUAAAUACCCGUGAAGAUGCGGGUUACCCGCGACAGGACGGAAAGACCCCAUGGAGCUUUACUGUAGCUUGAUAUUGAAUGUUUGUGCUGCUUGUACAGAAUAGGUAGGAGACGUAGAAGUUUGGACGCCAGUCUAGACGGAGUCGAAAUGUGGGAUACUACCCUCGUUGUAUGAACAUUCUAACACUGGUCGCUGAUCGCGAUCGUGGACAGUGUCUGGCGGGCAGUUUGACUGGGGCGGUCGCCUCCUAAAAGGUAACGGAGGCGCUCAAAGGUUUGCUCAGAAUGGUUGGAAAUCAUUCGUAGCGUGUAAAGGCAUAAGCAAGCUUGACUGCGAGAGUUACAACUCGAGCAGGUACGAAAGUAGGACUUAGUGAUCCGGUGGUUCCGCAUGGAAGGGCCAUCGCUCAACGGAUAAAAGCUA